rfam:Oryza glaberrima chromosome 1 Oglab01_0005_9, whole genome shotgun sequence.
AAAAAAGCAAAUCUUGAAUUUCCGUACCAACGUUUAACUAUCCGUUUUAUAUAAAUUUUUUUAUAAUUAGUAUUUUUAUUGUUGUUAGAUGAUAAAACAUGAUUAAUAUUUUAUACGUGACUUAUUUUUUUAAUUUUUUUAUAUUUUUUUAAAUAAAACGGAUGGUCAAAAGUUAGAUAUGGAAUCAGGGUU